AAAAAAUAUUAAAAUAAUCACAAAUAUAUCUUAAAUAAAUCUCAAUCAAUUUCUAAUUUAAUCCUAAUUAAAAUCCUAAUGGAUUUCAAUCAAAUCCUAAACAAAUCUUAAAUCCUAAUCUAAACUUUAAAUCAAAUUCUAGAUAAAUCUUAAAUCAAACCCUAAAUAAAUCCUAAAUCCUAAAUCCUAAACCAAAUUCUAAACAAAUCCUAAAUCUAACUUAAUUUAAUCUUAAUACAAUUUAAAACUUCAAUAUCUAUUAAGUAGAUUAUUGAUCUUCUUUAAAAAUUUAUACUUCUUUCAAAAAUUAAGUUAGAUGUAAGCAUAUAAAAUUUUAAAAUAAUUACGCUUACCAAAUAAAAGAAAAUUUAUAAAAUCUACUCGGGUGUUGGCUAGCCUUUUACUCUAAUCUAAAUAUUGAACUUUCAACACCAAUAUCUCCUUUUCAAAUCAAUCAAUUUUUCUCAAAUUUCACUUGUAUGGAAAAAAUCAAGCAUAUUAUCCUCAAAUAUAAAUUUUAUUCCAAUCCAACUAGUAGAUUUAUAAAGAUCUUAGAAACCCUAAUUGCUUCUUAAA
rnacentral:lncRNA from 1 species